AUUGAACGCUGGCGGCGUGCCUAAUACAUGCAAGUAGGACGCAGUUGCGAACGGGUGAGUAACGCGUAGGUAACUACCUAUUAGAGGGGGAUAACUAUUGGAAACGCUAGCUAAUACCGCAUACUAGUAGAUGGACCUGCGUUGUAUUAGCUAGUAGGUAGGGUAAUGGCCUACCUAGGCAACGAUACAUAGCCGACUCGGGGGGGUGGUGGGGCAAAAUGGGACUGGGAACAGGCCCAGACUCCGACGGGAGGCAGCAGUAGGGAAUCUUCGGCAAUGGGGGGAACCCUGACCGAGCAACGCCGCGUGAGGGAAGAAGGUUUUCGGAUCGUAAAGCUCUGUUGUUAAGGAAGCGGUACUUAACCAGAAAGGGACGGCUAACUACGUGCCAGCAGCCGCGGUAAUUC
rnacentral:rRNA from 1 species